rnacentral:rRNA from 1 species
UAGAGUUUGAUUAUGGCUCAGAUUGAACGCUGGCGGCAGGCCUAACACAUGCAAGUCGAGCGGCAGCGACAACAUUGAACCUUCGGGGGAUUUGUUGGGCGGCGAGCGGCGGACGGGUGAGUAAUGCCUAGGAAAUUGCCCUGAUGUGGGGGAUAACCAUUGGAAACGAUGGCUAAUACCGCAUGAUGCCUACGGGCCAAAGAGGGGGACCUUCGGGCCUCUCGCGUCAGGAUAUGCCUAGGUGGGAUUAGCUAGUUGGUGAGGUAAGGGCUCACCAAGGCGACGAUCCCUAGCUGGUCUGAGAGGAUGAUCAGCCACACUGGAACUGAGACACGGUCCAGACUCCUACGGGAGGCAGCAGUGGGGAAUAUUGCACAAUGGGCGCAAGCCUGAUGCAGCCAUGCCGCGUGUAUGAAGAAGGCCUUCGGGUUGUAAAGUACUUUCAGUAGGGAGGAAGGUUCAUGCGUUAAUAGCGUAUGGAUUUGACGUUACCUACAGAAGAAGCACCGGCUAACUCCGUGCCAGCAGCCGCGGUAAUACGGAGGGUGCGAGCGUUAAUCGGAAUUACUGGGCGUAAAGCGCAUGCAGGUGGUUAGUUAAGUCAGAUGUGAAAGCCCGGGGCUCAACCUCGGAAUUGCAUUUGAAACUGGCUGACUAGAGUACUGUAGAGGGGGGUAGAAUUUCAGGUGUAGCGGUGAAAUGCGUAGAGAUCUGAAGGAAUACCGGUGGCGAAGGCGGCCCCCUGGACAGAUACUGACACUCAGAUGCGAAAGCGUGGGGAGCAAACAGGAUUAGAUACCCUGGUAGUCCACGCCGUAAACGAUGUCUACUUGGAGGUUGUGGCCUUGAGCCGUGGCUUUCGGAGCUAACGCGUUAAGUAGACCGCCUGGGGAGUACGGUCGCAAGAUUAAAACUCAAAUGAAUUGACGGGGGCCCGCACAAGCGGUGGAGCAUGUGGUUUAAUUCGAUGCAACGCGAAGAACCUUACCUCUCUUGACAUCCAUAGAACUUAGCAGAGAUGCUUUGGUGCCUUCGGGACUAUGAGACAGGUGCUGCAUGGCUGUCGUCAGCUCGUGUUGUGAAAUGUUGGGUUAAGUCCCGCAACGAGCGCANCCCUUAUCCUUGUUUNCCAGCGAGUAAUGUCGGGANCUCCAGGGAGACUNCCGGNGAUAANCCNGANNAAGGUGGGGACGNNNUCAAGUCNUCAUGNCCCUUGCGANUAGGGCCACACACGUGCUACAAUGGCGUAUACAGAGGGCUCCCACCCAGCGAUGGUGAGCGAAUCCCAAAAAGUGCGUUGUAGUCCGGAUUGGAGUCCGCAACUCGACUCCAUGAAGUCGGAAUCGCUAGUAAUCGUGGAUCAGAAUCCCACGGUGAAUACGUUCCCGGGCCUUGUACACCCCGCCCGUCACACCAUGGGAGUGGGCUACAAAAGAAGUGGNUAGUUUCCCCCUUGGGAGGACGCUCACCACUUUGUGGUUCAUGACUGGGGUGAAGUCGUAACAAGGUAGCGCUANGGGAACCUG